rnacentral:rRNA from 1 species
UAUGCGUAGCUGAUGGGAAACAGGUCAAUAUUCCCGUACCGAUGUGUAGUGCGAUGUGGGGACGGAUCUUAAUAGGUCAUCCAGGUGUUGGAUAUCCUGGUUUAGUUGGAUGUAGGCGAUGGGUAGGCAAAUCCGCCCGUCAUAUACCGAGGCCAACGAUCGAGCAAGCUUGCUUGCUGAGUGACUGAACGAGGUUCCAGGAAAAGCCACUAAGCUUCAGCUACAUACGACCGUACCGCAAACCGACACUGGUGCGCGAGAUGAGUAUUCUAAGGCGCUUGAGAGAACUCAGGAGAAGGAACUCGGCAAAUUGACACCGUAACUUCGGAAGAAGGUGUGCCUUAUUAGUGUGAAGUGAACAACGGAGCAUGAAUGGGUUGCAAAAAAUCGGUGGCUGCGACUGUUUAUUAAAAACACAGCACUCUGCAAACACGAAAGUGGACGUAUAGGGUGUGACGCCUGCCCGGUGCUGGAAGAUUAAAUGAUGGGGUGCAAGCUCUUGAUUGAAGUCCCAGUAAACGGCGGCCGUAACAAUAACGGUCCUAAGGUAGCGAAAUUCCUUGUCGGGUAAGUUCCGACCUGCACGAAUGGCGUAACGAUGGCCACACUGUCUCCUCCUGAGACUCAGCGAAGUUGAAAUGUUUGUGAUGAUGCAAUCUCCCCGCGGAAAGACGGAAAGACCCCAUGAACCUUUACUGUAGCUUUGUAUUGGACUUUGAACAGAUCUGUGUAGGAUAGGUGGGAGGCUUUGAAGCGGUGCCGCUAGGUAUCGUGGAGCCAACGUUGAAAUACCACCCUGGUGUGUUUGAGGUUCUAACCUAGGUCCAUUAUCUGGAUCGGGGACAGUGCAUGGUAGGCAGUUUGACUGGGGCGGUCUCCUCCCAAAGCGUAACGGAGGAGUUCGAAGGUACGCUAGUUACGGUCGGACAUCGUGACGAUAGUGCAAUGGCAUAAGCGUGCUUAACUGCGAGACUGACAAGUCGAGCAGAUGCGAAAGCAGGACAUAGUGAUCCGGUGGUUCUGUAUGGAAGGGCCAUCGCUCAACGGAUAAAAGGUACUCUGGGGAUAACAGGCUGAUACCGCCCAAGAGUUCAUAUCGACGGCGGUGUUUGGCACCUCGAUGUCGGCUCAUCUCAUCCUGGGGCUGUAGCCGGUCCCAAGGGUAUGGCUGUUCGCCAUUUAAAGAGGUACGUGAGCUGGGUUUAAAACGUCGUGAGACAGUUUGGUCCCUAUCUUCCGUGGGCGCUGCAGAUUUGAGGAAGCCUGCUCCUAGUACGAGAGGACCGGAGUGGACACACCUCUGGUGUAUCGGUUGUCACGCCAGUGGCAUUGCCGAGUAGCUAAGUGUGGAAGAGAUAAACGCUGAAAGCAUCUAAGCGUGAAACUCGUUUCAAGAUGAGAUCUGCCGGGGCCUUGAGCCCCCUGAAGAGUCGUUCUAGACCAGGACGUUGAUAGGUCAGGUGUGGAAGCGCAGUAAUGCGUUAAGCUAACUGAUACUAAUUGCUCGUGCGGCUUGACCCC